UCCUGGGUGGCUCAGUGGUAAAGAAUCUGCCUGCCAAUGCAGGAGACAUGGGUUCAAUCCCUGAUCCAGGAA
rnacentral:tRNA from 1 species